rnacentral:rRNA from 1 species
GAUGAACGCUGGCGGCGUGCCUAAUACAUGCAAGUCGAGCGAACGGACGAGAAGCUUGCUUCUCUGAUGUUAGCGGCGGACGGGUGAGUAACACGUGGAUAACCUACCUAUAAGACUGGGAUAACUUCGGGAAACCGUAGCUAAUACCGGAUAAUAUUUUGAACCGCAUGGUUCAAAAGUGAAAGACGGUCUUGCUGUCACUUAUAGAUGGAUCCGCGCUGCAUUAGCUAGUUGGUAAGGUAACGGCUUACCAUGGCAACGAUGCAUAGCCGACCUGAGAGGGUGAUCGGCCACACUGGAACUGAGACACGGUCCAGACUCCUACGGGAGGCAGCAGUAGGGAAUCUUCCGCAAUGGGCGAAAGCCUGACGGAGCAACGCCGCGUGAGUGAUGAAGGUCUUCGGAUCGUAAAACUCUGUUAUUAGGGAAGAACAUAUGUGUAAGUAACUGUGCACAUCUUGACGGUACCUAAUCAGAAAGCCACGGCUAACUACGUG